rnacentral:rRNA from 1 species
UGCCGCGUGUAGGAUGAAGGCCUUCGGGUUGUAAACUACUUUUGUACGGAACGAAAAGCUCUCUUCUAAUAAAGGAGAGUGAUGACGGUACCGUAAGAAUAAGCACCGGCUAACUACGUGCCAGCAGCCGCGGUAAUACGUAAGGUGCGAGCGUUAAUCGGAAUUACGGGGCGUAAAGCGUGCGCAGGCGGUUAUGUAAGACCGAGGUGAAAUCCCCGGGCUCAACCGGGGAACGGCCUUGGGGACUGCAAAAUUGGAGUACGGGAGAGGGGGAUGGAAUUCCGCGUGUAGCAGAGAAAUGCCUAUAUAUGCGGAGGAUCACCGAUGGCGAAGGCAAUCCCCUGGACCUGUACUGACGCUCAUGCACGAAUGCGUGGGGAGGAAACAGGAUUACAUACCCUGGUAGUCCACGCCCUAAACGAUGUCAACUGGUUGUUGGGAAUUAACUUUCUCAGUAACGAAGCUAACGCGUGAAGUUGACCGCCUGGGUAGUACGGCCGCAAGGUUGAAACUCCCAGGAAUUGACGGGGACCCUCACAAUCGGUGGAUGAU